rnacentral:rRNA from 1 species
GACAGAGGAUGCAAGCGUUAUCCGGAAUGAUUGGGCGUAAAGAGCUCGUAGGCGGUGUGUCGCGUCGGCCGUGAAAACCUGGGGCUCAACUCUGGGCGUGCGGUCGAUACGGGCAUCACUUGAGUUCGGCAGGGGAGACUGGAAUUCCUGGUGUAGCGGUGAAAUGCGCAGAUAUCAGGAGGAACACCGGUGGCGAAGGCGGGUCUCUGGGCCGAUACUGACGCUGAGGAGCGAAAGCAUGGGUAGCGAACAGG